rnacentral:rRNA from 1 species
GACGAACGCUGGCGGCGUGCUUAACACAUGCCAGUCGAACGGUGAACUCCGCUUGCGGGGGGAUCAGUGGCGAACGGGUGAGUAACACGUGGGCAACCUGCCCUCAGCUCUGGGAUAACUCCAAGAAAUUGGGGCUAAUACCGGAUAUGACCGCUGACCGCAUGGUCUGGUGGUGGAAAGAUUUAUCGGCUGGGGAUGGGCCCGCGGCCUAUCAGCUUGUUGGUGGGGUAGUGGCCUACCAAGGCGACGACGGGUAGCCGGCCUGAGAGGGUGACCGGCCACACUGGGACUGAGACACGGCCCAGACUCCUACGGGAGGCAGCAGUGGGGAAUAUUGCGCAAUGGGCGAAAGCCUGACGCAGCGACGCCGCGUGGGGGAUGACGGCCUUCGGGUUGUAAACCUCUUUCAGCAGGGACGAAGCGAAAGUGACGGUACCUGCAGAAGAAGCACCGGCCAACUACGUG